rnacentral:lncRNA from 1 species
CAGCACUUUAAAAUGGAAGCACCAACGCUGGCAUCAGCAGAGUCCUUCAAAGAAUUUGAUUCAGUGGAGGCCAACUCAACAAAAUAGAAAGCCCCAGAUGGACAGCCAUUGGCUGCACCUGGAGCAGACAAUUGAGAGGCCUGGCUCAUGGAUGGGUUUGAACCACCUCAGGACUGAAGAUGAGCGGCUCAGUUUCACUAACAACAAGAACAGUGACAAAUUCCCUGCCCGGCCCAAGCUCUGUGGUCCUUAUGCAGCUGGAGAUCCCUAUGCCAAGCCCUCAAAGCAGCCCCGACUUUCCGUGCAAUAAAGCAGCAGUGAGAAAGGCUCAGAGUAAUUAAGUGGCUGACGCACAGAAGAAGCCGUUACAAAGAAUUGACUAAAUUGCCCAUUCAUUAGCAGCUCGGCAUGGAAGGAGAAUUACAAAUAGACGGCGGAGCCCGCAGUAAUUCAAUCUAACCUUGUACUUACAGAAAACAAUGAGAUAAUGAACAGAAAAAUUACCAGGCACAUAUUGUAUUUUGUUAAAGG